GUCUCGGCUUUUCAGAGUCUCAUCUCUUCGCCUCCCCUUUCGUUAUCUCUUCACCUUCCCUGUGGUUCAGUGUAUUUGUUUUAAUUCUACCAUAAUUGUUAAUCCCAUUGAAUCCAGAUUCCAUGUCGUCUUCUCCCUUUCAUUCAUCUCAAAUCUAUAAAUAUAAGCAGGUUGAGAGUAUGAUGGAUGCUCAGCACGAUUGUCAGUUUACCAUUUUAUUAAGCUGGAAAGAUUUUCAAAAAUGUCUUCCUCCGAUGCUGUUUUUUUGCACUCUGCGUUUGAGGCUCUCCGCCUCUGAAGAUCUGGCCAGUUCAUUGUUGCCAAAUUGAUCUGUUUUUGGGACUUGAAAAACAUCAAGAAACAUGGUUAAUUCAUGGAAAUCACUCUACUUCUGUUGAUGAUAAGAAUUUGGUGAUACAUGGAUUCAUCCUGCUGGUCGCGCCUCUUACUACAGUCCGUCUUUGCGAGGAGGUUCAGUCGUGAAGUUAAUUGGAGAGAGGAAGGAGCUGUCAUUCCAGUCAAAAAUCAGGGACACAUAUGUGGGAUGAUUCAUUAUUUCUUUGAACGAUUGGUUUUGUGCAUCGCCAUUGCGGUUGAGAUUGCAGUUAUUUUUGAUAAAAUAGGAAGUUGUUGGACGCUCUCGGUGGUUGGAGCGGUGAACGGUAUAAACAAGAUCAAGACCGGAGAAUUGAUAUAUUUGUGGGAACAAGAGUUCAUAGACUACUACAGAGAGGACGGCAAUGGUGGAUGUGAUGGAGGGUUUAUGUACAGGUCCAUGUGACGAUGGCUUUGGAAACCAUGAUGUGCUAGCCGUGUGGCAUGGAACAACAGACGGAGGUGAAGACUAUUGGAUUAUUAUUUAUAACUCAUGGGAAUCAUAUUGGGGAGAAGGCGGAUACAUCAGGUCCUAACGUAACUAUCAUAAAUCAACCGGGUAAUGCGAAGUCGCAGCACGGUCUAUACCCAAUCAAGCCAAGCUCUCCAUUUGGUUUGGUGUCUACAGUUGGUUCUCCACGAGCAAGGAAUGAAGCUAAGUUGAGAUACAAAGAGAAGUAACUCAAGCACAUUAUUGGGAAAAAGAUUCGAUAUGCAUCUCGCAGAGCGAGAGCUUACACGAGAAAAAUAGUGAGAGGAAGAUUUGUGAAAGCUGGUGACAAUUAUGCCUAUGACCCAUCAUCACUAACCAUGAAAUCAAUGAGUUUUCUCUUCCCCUAAAACAAUUUUUAUUUUGAAUCGAGGAAAUCAACAUGUUGCGGCAUGGAAACGUUGGAGACCUGCACAAAGAAUGCUUAGAUGUAGUGAAAGUGACGAAUUGGGUGGAAGGCCAAAAU